rfam:Cricetulus griseus cell line CHO-K1, whole genome shotgun sequence.
UUCUGCUUCCAUACCACCCUGAAUGUACUUGAUUUCAUCUGAUCUUUAAAGCUAAGUAGGGUUGGGCCUGGUUAAUACUUGGAUGGGAGAAUAGU